UCAAAAACCUUUGGUAAUUGAUAGGAGGCGGAUGAGAUUCCCAAAAUCUCAAGUCAAAUUAAAGUGGCUCAUCAACUUACACUUACUCAAGAUAAUUCUUAAACCAGAGACGGUCUAAGAAGGGAAGAUUUCCAUUUACAAUUUGAUCUAAUUCCAUAGUUGUAAGAAGUUAUGGAAGAAUUCCAUUGAAGAUCAAACCAUACUUUUUCCUUUCCUAUGGUAAAAUCUGAAGAAGUAUCAGGCUCUCAACAUGCCAAAGUCCACAACUUAGGAAAAACUUCUUGAACCUGUAUCUAAGAAGACUAAAGGUGUCCUAAAUGAAGAAGGGGAUCUUGAAGAAAGAAGUGAUGAAGACAUUGACCGGAGAAGAUUUUUGACUUAAUGAUGUAGAUGCUUUAUUAUUGAUCGUUUUGAUAUAGAGUUUCUUCAAACUUAUCGGCCUUCGAACGUGAUACUAUGCAUGGAAAA